UAUCCCUCGCUCUCUCUGUCCUGUCUCCUUCUCGCCUGUGCGGAGCUCACUGUGGGCUUCCGCUUUUGGCCGACACACCUGCAAGCAGUUAAACACCUGCGGUGCCUCUCCAGUCACUAGGGCAGUGGCUACGCGCUUCUCGUCGCUUGAACGUUGAACUACUGAAAUUCCCUGCUCCCGUCCUUGAUUCUCCUCCCUGAUUUCCCCAGCAUCAGAAGUCGUGUACGGCAGCGCAAACAGUGUUACCAACUCCUCAGAGAGAGAAAGAACAUCGUGGACGACACAUACAGUUUUUAGAGUCACUGAAACACAGCAGAGCAGAUUCUUCUGGAUGUCAUGAUCAAAACAAAGCAGCUGUUUUAUCUAAUAUAUUGUUUGCUUUGGUGAACACUGACCUGUGGUGUGGAUAUGGGCCUGCUGUG